rfam:Asian citrus Psyllid, Diaphorina citri - Florida Strain, whole genome shotgun sequence.
GCCUAGUUAGCUUAGUUGGUAGUGCGUCUGCCUUGUAAGCGCUAGACCGCGGGUACGAUUCCCGCCCGGGGCG